AACGCGUAAUCAACCUGCCCUUCAGAGGGGGAUAACAACGGGAAACCGUUGCUAAUACCGCGUACGAUUCAUAGACGGCAUCGUUUGUGAAUGAAAGGUGGCCUCUAUUUAUAAGCUAUCGCUGAAGGAGGGGAUUGCGUCUGAUUAGCUAGUUGGAGGGGUAACGGCCCACCAAGGCAAUGAUCAGUAGCCGGUCUGAGAGGAUGAACGGCCACAUUGGGACUGAGACACGGCCCAAACUCCUACGGGAGGCAGCAGGC
rnacentral:rRNA from 1 species